rnacentral:rRNA from 1 species
CCUAGGAGGCAGCAGUAGGGAAUUUUCCGCAAUGGGCGAAAGCCUGACGGAGCAAUACCGCGUGAGGGAAGAAUGCCUACGGGUUGUAAACCUCUUUUUUCAGGGAGGAACAUAAUGACGUGUACCCGAAGAAUAAGCAUCGGCUAACUCCGUGCCAGCAGCCGCGGUAAGACGGAGGAUGCAAGUGUUAUCCGGAAUCACUGGGCGUAAAGCGUCUGUAGGUGGUUUAAUAAGUCAACUGUUAAAUCUUGAGGCUCAACCUCAAAAUCGCAGUCGAAACUAUUAGACUAGAGUAUAGUAGGGGUAAAGGGAAUUUCCAGUGGAGCGGUGAAAUGCGUAGAGAUUGGAAAGAACACCGAUGGCGAAAGCACUUUACUAGGCUAUUACUGACACUCAGAGACGAAAGCUAGGGUAGCAAAUGGGAUUAGAUACCCCAGUAGUCCUAGCUGUAAACUAUGGAUACUAGAUGUUGAACAGAUCGACCUGUGCAGUAUCAAAGCUAACGCGUUAAGUAUCCCGCCUGGGAAGUAUGCUCGCAAGGGUGAAACUCAAAGGAAUUGACGG